rnacentral:rRNA from 1 species
AUGGGGAGGAUGGAUCUCCUGAAGCUCGUUGACCUUGGGCACAACCAGCUCAGCGGCGAGAUCCCGUUGGAGCUGUUCAGGCUUCCUUAUCUGGAUUCGAUGAGUGUCGCGGGCAACUCGUUGUCCGGGCCUAUCCCGUCUUUUCUGCAGAGGUUUCCGGCGGCGUCCUUUGCCGGCAACGGCAACGACGGGCUCUGUGGCGCUCCGUUGGAUCGUCUUUGCCCCGCCUCCGCGAGGAGUGGAAAGCAAAUCAGCGGCGGGUCGAGUGUCGGGGCGGCUGUCGGGUUCGUCCUGGGCUUUGUGGUGGCCUUCUACUUCCCGCAGUGGUUCGUUUUCUCCCGGAGGCUCCACCCCUACGUCUACCGCUUUCUCUGA